UACGUAGGGGCCGAGCGUUGUCCGGAGUUAUUGGGCGUAAAGCGCGCGCAGGCGGCCUCGCGCGCCCGACGUGAAAGCCCCCGGCUUAACCGGGGAGGGUCGUUGGGGACGGCGGGGCUUGAGGGCGGGAGAGGGUGGUGGAAUUCCCGGUGUAGUGGUGAAAUGCGUAGAGAUCGGGAGGAACACCCGUGGCGAAGGCGGCCACCUGGGCCGACCCUGACGCUGAGGCGCAAAGGCGUGGGGAGCGAACGGG
rnacentral:rRNA from 1 species